CACAACAGCUGUCCGGGCCGGAGCAGCCAUAGUGUAGCCUGGAGCCCCCCCACCGCUCCCAGGGAGGGGAGGGGCCGCCUGAGAUCCCUCAGGAAAGACUGGAUUCCAGGAGGCCUGACCCUCCGAGGGGAACUCGUGUGCUGCCCGCCUGCUUCCUGCCGGGGACCGUCGGCCACUGAGCCUUCCAGGACCGGAGCUGCAGAGGCGACGCAGCCAGAGGCUGAGAAGCAGAUUCUCCCUUCUGAGGGUUGGUUAAAGCUCAAAACCAGAGGCCUCCGUGGACCCCCACCUGUUUUUCCAAGCCCACCGUCCCUCCACCUCAUCUUCCGCCGUCCCAUCGUCCGCCAGCUCGUCAUUCAGCGUGGAUUUCCUGAGCCACCCCCAGGCACCAGCACCGUGGCUCAGGCGACGUGCAGACAACAAAGAAAGAACCACCCCAUCCGUCCACCCACCCAUUGUGCGUCCGCCUGCCCACCCACCCCUGCCCGCCCGUCCGUCUGUCCCUCCGUCCGUGCUUCCACGCCUCUCUGCAGUCACACACUCACUCCCUGUCAAGUCCUCCCGGGCGCCUGGACUCAGCCGUGGGCCCCAGCCCUCACUCCCCAGGCCAGCUGGGGGCAG
rnacentral:lncRNA from 1 species